AUGGCCAUAUCAUGUUGAAACAUUGAUUCUCAUCAGAUCAUUCAAGUUAAGCAACAUCAAGCUUGGUCAGUACCUAGAUGGGUGACCUCUUGUAAAUACUAGGUACUGUAAG